rnacentral:rRNA from 1 species
GCUCAGAUUGAACGCUGGCGGCAGGCCUAACACAUGCAAGUCGAGCGGAUGACARGAGCUUGCUCYUGRAUUCAGCGGCGGACGGGUGAGUAAUGCCUAGGAAUCUGCCUGGUAGUGGGGGACAACGUYUCGAAAGGRACGCUAAUACCGCAUACGUCCUACGGGAGAAAGCAGGGGACCUUCGGGCCUUGCGCUAUCAGAUGAGCCUAGGUCGGAUUAGCUAGUUGGUGAGGUAAUGGCUCACCAAGGCGACGAUCCGUAACUGGUCUGAGAGGAUGAUCAGUCACACUGGAACUGAGACACGGUCCAGACUCCUACGGGAGGCAGCAGUGGGGAAUAUUGGACAAUGGGCGAAAGCCUGAUCCAGCCAUGCCGCGUGUGUGAAGAAGGUCUUCGGAUUGUAAAGCACUUUAAGUUGGGAGGAAGGGCAUUAACCUAAUACGUUAGUGUUUUGACGUUACCGACAGAAUAAGCACCGGCUAACUCUGUGC